CCUACGGGGGGCAGCAGUGGGGAAUAUUGGACAAUGGGGGGAACCCUGAUCCAGCCAUGCCACGUGUGUGAAGAAGGCCCUCGGGUUGUAAAGCACUUUCAGUGAGGAAGAACGCCUGGUGGUUAAUACCCAUCAGGAAAGACAUCACUCACAGAAGAAGCACCGGCUAACUCCGUGCCAGCAGCCGCGGUAAUACGGAGGGUGCGAGCGUUAAUCGGAAUUACUGGGCGUAAAGCGCGCGUAGGUGGCUUGAUAAGCCGGUUGUGAAAGCCCCGGGCUCAACCUGGGAACGGCAUCCGGAACUGUCAAGCUAGAGUGCAGGAGAGGAAGGUAGAAUUCCCGGUGUAGCGGUGAAAUGCGUAGAGAUCGGGAGGAAUACCAGUGGCGAAGGCGGCCUUCUGGACUGACACUGACACUGAGGUGCGAAAGCGUGGGUAGCAAACAGGAUUAGAUACCCUUGUAGUC
rnacentral:rRNA from 1 species